rnacentral:piRNA from 2 species
UCAAACAGGCCACAAAUGUUGCAGUGA